UACGGAGGGUGCGAGCGUUACCCGGAUUUACUGGGUGUAAAGGGCGUGUAGGCGGUCUCUCAAGUCCGAUGCUAAGGACCGAGGCUCAACCUCGGGAGUGCGUUGGAUACUGUGAGGCUAGACGGUCGGAGAGGGCAGCGGAAUUCUCGGAGUAGCGGUGAAAUGCGCAGAUACCGAGAGGAACGCCAAUAGCGAAGGCAGCUGCCUGGACGAUUGGUGACGCUGAGGCGCGAAAGUGUGGGGAUCAAACAGG
rnacentral:rRNA from 1 species